rnacentral:misc_RNA from 1 species
GCAUGUAUACUUGCUAGAUACUGUCCCAAAAGAUAGACAAACAACUGAUGGACAACAAAACGAAACAAUUCUCCAUAUAGAGUAUCACUGGCACCAUUAUGGGCAAUUAACAUGCGCAGUGAACUUGAUAGUACGUGAUUUAAAGUUCGUUCGUCAUUUGAUCCCAAUUCGCAUUCAUUCAGAUAAUUGAAACAAGGCUGCGCAUUUCGAGUGGAAAUUGGUUACGAAAUUGCAAGUUUAGGCAACAGUCUAACACCAUGAAAUAGCAUUAUUUUACCUGACAAGAAAACGCUUUUGGAGGAAUCUGUGGACAACUGGCUAAAUGAAAUGGAACUGACCACUGAUGAGUUCUUGGAGCGCAUUGGCGGCUUUGGUCGCUACCAAAUCCUGCUUACCGUAUUUUCCAAUGUGGCUUAUAUGCUGUGGUGGGGCAUGCCUACGAUGGUCAUGUUAUUCAUUGCAGCAGAGCCUGGCUGGAAAUGUAAAAAUAACGCCACAUGUCCCUUUACGGAGAUCAAAAGACUAGGAGAUGAUAACUACUCCUUCAGAUGUGACAUUCCCAGAGAAGAUUGGGAAUUUGGAAAUGAUUUCACGUCAGUCGUCACCGAGUUCGACCUUGUCUGCGAGCGUGGCUCAUUUGGAUUCAUCUCAACCUCUGUUAUUUUCCUCGGAUUUUUUAUUGGUAGCAUCUGCGUGAGUACCAUAUCUGACAAGUUUGGCAGGAAGCAUCCGCUGUUCGUCUGCGGGUUCAUUUGUGCCAUUUUUAACUUUGCUUCGGUCUUCGCUCCAGCGUUUUGGGUGUUCGCCGUUUUCCGUUGUAUCAUCGGAUUCAUGCAAGGUAAGUCUUGUGUUUAGAAUUGAUAAAGCGGUUUCAGUGAUAUUGAAUGAAGUACGAAACGUAAUGUAAUGAACCGACGUAAUGCUUCGAGCUUAAGACACGGUCUGAGCCAAGCGCUGCAACAAAAGCGAGGUAAAAGUUGUCGCGCACAGGAUCGCAGCGACACUUAACACCUUAAGGUGGCUCACCAGGUUCCAGGCAAUUUUCGACACGUCUUCUUUGAUGGAUUAAUGUUUCCUCUCGAUCGCUUUUAUCUGAUGCUACAGUAAUGAUGUCAAACAAAUUCCCAUGGCAAAGGUAUAAGCGGUUAAAAUCAGUAUCAAUUUUAGAUUUAUGGGCUUACUUCUCAAACGCAAGUCUGGUGACUGCAAACUUUUGUUAUCAGAUUGUCACCAGCCUGUUAAAAUGCAACUUUUCGCAAAUUUUGGAAAAACUGCGGGAGCAGAUUCAGAGCCACCUUAUGUUUUCGCAAAUUAAAGUCGCUUGAAUAAGAAGCUUCUACAACUUUCUAAAACUUGAAAGAAAGUUACAUAAAAUUUUAACUUGCUUGUCACAAUUCGAAAACAAAUGUGGGGGUCACCGGACUCAUUUUCGAGUUAAAACUAAAAUUAAGGAUAUUUUUUAUCAGCUUAUUCCGUUGCUAUGGUAACCUGCAAUGUCAAGAAAAUGACUACAAUUUGUUCAACAGUGAUUCGGAUUUUGGUUGAUGUCAUAACGGUAGUGCAACUGAAAAGGGUAGUAGAAUGAAUAUAUCAAAGUAGACCUGCAGAAACGUGAUGGAAAUUCUGUUCUCAGCCACCUUAAUUGUCUGCACUCACUUGAGGAAGAGGAAUUUUUCUGGAAUAAUUUAGUCAACAGCCUUGCUUGAAUCUUUGUUUUUGUUGGAUUGUCAUUAUGUCUCUUAAAAGCGCCAUUUAUGAAAUGGAUGACAAAAAGGACUUAAAAGCAGCUCGCUCUAACGGUGACCCAUACCUAUAAAGGACAGAAAAAUUCGGAGACAGAAACUUUGGAGACGGCCUUACGUAUUUUAGUGACCUAAAUCUUGACGUGACGCAACAUCAUCGACGCGUAUGAUUUUGAAAAUUUGAUUGAAAUUCCGGUUUAUAUUACAUGCGGAUCUGACAACGCUAAAUAACUGCUAAAGAUGAUUAUAUUUAGUGCUAUGGGUUAGCUUUUCCAGCCACGCUAAUUAUUUUGGCUCGUUAGUGCUCUUAAAAAGUGUAAUUUUGGGGUCGAGUUUUGCUCUUUUCGGGGCAAAAUACGUAAGGCCGUCUCCACAAGAAAAUAAAAAUCCAAACAGCCUCACAGUUGAAAUAAGCUAGUAAAAAUCUUCUUGCCGACAAAGUUUGCGAUAAUAGAAUUUUUCUAUCCUGCAUAGGUAUAGGUGACCGCUACAGCAAGCUGCUCUUAAACUGUGAUCCAUAGCAAUAGAAAGAAAAUUGUACAUUAUUCACAGGAAAGUUGCCAACAUUUAAGUUUUUCUUGGAUAAUGUAACAGUAUUGAGACUGGCAAAUGUAUGGACUUAAACUGUUCCGUUCGUGACCUCUCACCAAACCUUGCAAAUCGUCCUUGGUCUUCGUCCGUCCGUCGCUCCCG